rnacentral:lncRNA from 1 species
CUCUCUCUAGCCCCUUCCACAGGAUCAAGCAACCACCCCACCCAACUGGGGUGUCCUUGACAAAGGUCCUUCAAUCCAUUUCCAAAGGCGUCGCUGCCGAAAGACACCCUACCUUAAGGCUGUCAGCACCCUACCACCCCCACCUACUUUCCCUUGGCUAUUACUUGAGCUUUAUUUUAUCACGCUCUCCUCCCGGCCUGGGGACUCCCCUCACCCGUGGGGCCUCGUCCAGCAAAGUAAACAAUGCUGUCAAAGCGGGAUAACGCUGGGCGAGGCUUCCAGACUCCGCAUUCCAGCCUCCUCCCGGUGUUCUAAAAGCAGCAAAAACAAGCCAUCGCAGGAUGCCAGGGCCGAAUUCCUCUCCCAAAGUUCUUUUUUAAAAAGCCCCGGAGCCAGCUCCAAAAUCAAGCAUUAAUUUGCACAAUCUACGACAGGCAAUGCAGACUGUAAUGCAAGGCCAAGUGGAGCCAAAUCCGCCCGGGAAGGAGGCAGAGAGGAGAGAGAGAACUGGGUCGAAUGCGUAAGCCUGCCACGAAGCGGAAACAAGAGCUCUUUUUCGCGACAGGACAGCCACAUUCCCGAGUGGGGCGCGCGCCGACUCGAGCUGCGGGCAAGAGCGAACACGAAGUAAAGGGUCCCGAACGCUCGGGCGGGCCCAAGGGCAGCGUCCCCGGGGCUUCGGUGGAGCUGGGGGCGGGGGCGAAGCGGCCGGGCACCGAGGCGCCGAGGAGUUAGAGGACCGCGGCGGGACACCGGGCGCGGCGGACGGCUGGCCGGCGCUCACCUCCCGGUGUGGUGGAGAAGAGCGUCCCCCCGGGCGUGGUGCAAUAGUCAUGAGGUAGCUGCGCGGCGUCGCUGAUGGCCACGGUGCGGGUGGGGAUGGCGCGGCUCUGGCUGGGCUGGUGGCCGCUGCCGGCUGACGAGGACAUGGCUGUGGGCGCGGGCUCUCGGCUUUGUCCGGCGGGCAGGCGGCGGCGGCGGGGCCGGGGCUGCUUCGGCUCCUCAGGCGGACGGAAAAGCGCGCUCUGCGCGCUCCUCGCUCGCUUCCUCCCGUUCCCUCGUCCCGCUCCGCUCCCGCCGCCGCCCUCUCAGCCGCCGCCGCCGCCGCCGCUCGAUCCUCCGGCCUCAGCCAGCAGCCUCAGGAGCAACAGCAGCGGCAGCAGCGGCGACGACGACGACCGGAAGCGGGCGAAGGCGGGAGCCAGAGGGAGUUGGGGAAGCUGGUCGGCCGGAGGUGACGUCGCCGCGGGGCGGGGCGAGGCAGUGAGGGGCGUGGCUGAAGUUGUUGAAGGGGGCGGGGACGAGGGGCAGGGCUGAGGAAGAGAGUGGCUUAACCCCAGCGAGCGGGAGAAGAGCCAGAGGGAGCGCGAGCUAAGUGUUUGUGAGCCUGGUGAAGGCGGACAAGGAAAACUUUCUUCUUAUUGUUUGUCAUUGUCGGUUAACACCACUUUACUUGAGCAGACUUGAGUUUCUCAUGCAUUCCUAUGCAUUAAAAAUGUAAUUUUA